CCAGCCGUAAACGAUGUCCACCAGGUGCUGGGCGGAUCGACCCGUUCAGUGCCGCAGCUUACGUGAUGAGUGGACCGCCUGGGGAGUACGGCCGCAAGGUUGGAACUCAAAGGAAUUGACGGGGGCCCGCACAAGCAGCGGAGUGUGUGGUUUAAUUCGAUGCGACGCGAAGAACCUUACCUGGGCUUGACAUGCAAUGGCACCACGGGUAAUGCCGUGUCUCCUUCGGGAGCCGUUGCACAGGUGCUGCAUGGCUGUCGUCAGCUCGUGCCGUGAGGUGUUGGGUUAAGUCCCCUAACGAGCGCAACCCUCGGGGUCCGUUGAAUAUUUGUCUCGGGCCCGACUGCCGCGUGCAUCGCUGAAU
rnacentral:rRNA from 1 species